CUCUUCAGUUUUUUAUUGUUCCUCUUACUUGCUGCAAUGGCAUCCAAGGCUGUGUUGUUUCUGGUUGCUUCUUUUUUCUGUGUUACUGCUGCAAAGGCUUCAUACACCAGUGAAGAGUUCUUGGAGAAGGAUAUUUAUUCCAAAAUCCUAGUAGCCACAACACCAGCUCCUAUACCACCAGCCAAGAGUCCUGCUCCAGCACCUCCAGUUAAGGCACCAACUCCUCCUGCUCCUCCAGUAGUCAAGCCCCCCACUCCUAUCCCACCAGUGGUCAAGCCCCCAACUCCUGCCCCACCAGUAGUCAAGCCUACGCCACCAGUGGUUAAGCCCCCCACUCCUACACCACCAGUGGUUAAGCCACCCAUUUCUUCUCCGCCAGUGGUCAAGCCCCCCACUCUUACACCACCAGUGGUGAAGCCACCCACUCCUGCUCCACCAGUAGUCAAGCCCCCCACUACUGUGGUGAAGCCACCCACUCCUUCUCCACCAGUGGUCAAGCCUCCAACUCCUUUGCCACCAGUGAAACCACCGACUGGUUCACCAAUGCCCCCAGUCAGGACAAGAGCAGAUUGCAUCCCCCUUUGUGCAGAGAGAUGCAAAUUACAUUCCAGGAAGAACCUAUGUGCAAGAGCUUGCGUGACUUGCUGUGACAGAUGCAAAUGUGUGCCACCAGGAACUUAUGGCAACAGGGAGAAAUGUGGCAAGUGCUACACCAACAUGACUACCCGAGGCAACAAGCCCAAGUGCCCUUGAAAAUUCAGAAAAAUCGCUAUUGUAGUAUAUCCUAAUCUAUCUACAUUAAAUAGUUUCAAAGCAGGAGAAAAGAAAAAUAAUAAUAUUAAGUGUUUCUCUGUUCUGCCAUUAAUUAGGAGCAGGUGUAUUAAUAGAGCAAUCAGUGUUGUCUAUUGUCUUGAGUCAAAUUCUGUGUUUGUCUUAGCUGUUUCCUGGAUUUUUUAUUACUGAAACAGCACAUAUCGAUAUCUGCAAUCAGCAUUUGAAAAUCCAGGAAACAGCUAAGACAAACAC
rnacentral:misc_RNA from 1 species